AAGAUGUAAUGUUCACGGAUUUUUGUUAGAUGAUCUGUUGGUCCGGUUUAAUUUUAGCAGGCAUGAGGCAUCUGGGUACUGUUUAUGAAUUGAUAGCGCACCUUGCUUAAAUCCUACUAACAAUUUUCUCAAGAAUUCAUACUAACAAGUGUCUUUGCUUUUUGUUUGAUGCAUUUAACAUGUUCAGGAAACAUGUUUCAAGGGCCUUGUUUGUCGAUCUGGAGUCCACUGUUAGUAGAUUAUGGCAGUAAAUCAUAGUCAGUUUCCUCGUAAUUUGAAUGGAGAAUUUUGUGUUAGGCGAGUAGAGCUUUACCAACUUAAUAACAGAGGAUGGUGCUUGCAGUUGUUGUGGGUGCAGAUGGUUCCCAUGUCUUGGUUUCUUGGAAUGGUGAUUCAAGAAGGCACACCAUCGUGUGGAUGGACCAUGGGGCUCUUGACCAAGUCGAGUGAAUUAUCUCACAGUUCACCGGUAUUGCAAGGGCCUUGUUUGUCGAUCUGGAGCCCACUAUUAGUAGAUUAUGGCAGUAAAUCAUAGUCAGUUUCCUCGUAAUUUGAAUGGAGAAUAUUGUGUUAGGCGAGUAGAGCUUUACCAACUUAAUAACAGAGGAUGGUGCUUGCAGUUGUUGUGGGUGCUGAUGGUUCCCAUGUCUUGGUUUCUUGGAAUGGUGAUUCAAGAAGGGGCACCAUCGUGUGGAUGGACCAUAGGGCUCUUGACCAAGUCGAGUGAAUUAAUUC
rnacentral:lncRNA from 1 species